AACUCUGCAACUCUUAAGUUGAAUGGAAGAAACAUAUGCUAAUAAAGAACAUUCUCUCUGGAAAAAUUGUUUGUUCAGGAAAGCAACAGAUUGGAGUACCUGAUACCAAAAAGAACAUCGUUGAGACAUCGGCUGCCAAUGGGAGACCAAGGAUUCACAGACUUUGUGGCUCAUCUUCUUGAGAUAAACCCAAAGAAGCGUCCUUCUGCAGCAGAGGCUCUGAAGCACCCUUGGCUUUCAUACCCAUACGAGCCAAUCUCUGCUUAAACAACUGGUGUCUUUACUUAAGCUACUAAAAGCCGCAAAACCUCAGAUUAAUGGAAACCUCAUAUGUGCAAAGGUUCAAGCCCCUUUGGUGGGUGACCCUUAAUACAAGUUGUGGCUGUCUCCUUCAGUCAAAAUGUGAGCUGAAAAGAAGAAAACUUUUGUGAAAUUUGAUUAGAGUGUAACACUGUGUUGUCAAACUUGUGAUUAUUAUCCUCCUAGAACAGACUAAGUAGUAGAACUCUUUUUUGUAUCAUCUGCUGAUCCUUAGUAGUUUAGUCAUUUGAUUAUGAUUUAUAAAUGUCAUUUAUGUAAUUUAUAUAUAUACAGGGUACUGAUCAUUUUAGGUGUCAUAUAUAGAAGUAAAUUUCAGAGAGUGCUGUGCGGGAGAAUCUCCUUUGGUGGUCAUUGUAAGGUGGUGAAUGGUAUUAUCAAUGGGACAUAAAAAAAAAUUGGUUCUCGGGUUCUUAGUGUUGUAGGUUCGAGAGAGUCCAUUGUUCUCUUUUGUGGUUUAUCUUUGUCUCUGUUCUGUUUCUAACAUCUCCCAAUUCAGUACCAAUAAUUAGUGGAACAAAAAAAAAAUACUUUUAUAGUCCACACUCUAAAACAUGACUAAAGAGAUUCGGAAGCGACUUUAGGUCACAAACUUUUGGAAGGAUUACAAUAUUUUUGAAUUGAUUGAUAGUUUUAAAUGUAUAACAAAUGAAAAUUUGCGGAAUAAAAAUUUAUAAGGAAAAAAUUGCAUUAUGAAAUAACGAAUUACCUUUUUUAUAUUGAAAAUAACUAUCUUUGGAUUGUAAACAAAAUUUCGUGUAAAAUUUUCUAAAGAAAGCAAUUGGAAUCAUAAUAAUCUAUGAAAUUUAGCAAUAUGGUAUCAUUUUAAAAAAUUCAGUACAAGACAAUUUUGUAAUAUUGGAAGAAAGAACCCUAAUUUUAAAUUUAGGAAUUUUUUUAAGUUUACCAGUGAAUGUCCGAAAUGAUUACAUCCAUUGAAACCUCAACGUGCGUGUCUUCUCCUUGCUUCUUCUUCCUCGUUUGAUCUGUAAACGCAUUUCCUCCUUCGCCGUGCCUGAAGAAGUUUCAUCUCUCGUUGGAUCCACUCUUGUUCCUCCUUGUCUUCUUAAAUUUUUAUUUUUAUUUUUCUGGUUCUCCGGAUCUCCAGACUCUUCGAUGGCGCGUUUGGAGCAUGAUUUCUAAGGAUUUUUAGGGUUUUUAUGCUCUUAUUGAAGUUCGCAUCUGCUGCAUCGUUCCGUAUGAGCAAACGUGAGUCUGGUUUGCCGGAAAAAACUUGUUUCUGAAAUGUGACUGAAAGUAUUGGUUUUGGGCAGAUUUUGAUUCUUCUAAUGUCUUUUGGUAGAAAGAUUCUUCAAAUUGUUUUCGUUAGAGGGUUCUGGGUAUCAGACAACAUCUGAACAGAGAAAAGUUUUCAUCUUUGUUGGGUACAGGAUUGGUGGAGUUUUAUUGCCAGUGCUUCUCCUGUAUAUUGUAAAUGACGGACCAGAGCUCUGUUGAUGGGAUUUUAGAGUUUCUUAGGAAUAAUCGCUUCUCUCAAGCUGAGGAAGCUUUGCGUAAUGAGCUUAAUAACCGGUCUGACAUUAAUGGCUUUCUUCAGAAACUUAAGCUGGAGGAUAAAGAUUCAAAUGAAAAGGCUGCUGGUAAUGAACUUCGGAGGUCAGGUUCUCGAGAUAGUGAAGUCUCCAAGGAGCUGAUUGUGAAAGAGGUAGACUGUGGGACUAGCACCAAUGGGUCUGUUAUCAAGUGGGAAAAUGGUGCGACGGCGGACAAUCCGAGCAAGAAGGAACCAGUUGUAUCAAGUGAGAUGAGCUUUACAUUCUCCAAGAAUUCAGGUGAUGCUGCUGCUCCUCCUGAUGCCCAUUCCUAUAAAUUUACUUCCAGAAAUGGCACCGUGGAGCCUUCUCGAAACAUUGAUGAUAGUAGUAGUAGCAGCUUGGUGGAUUUAUAUGCAUUCGAACAGUCGAGGCAUGGGAAUUUCGCUGAUAUCGAUAAGAAGAUAGUGGAAACUGGUGAAGAUAUCGUUUUCUUUGGCAAUAAGAGUACUUCAUGGUCUGGAAAUUCUAGUAAAGGGAACUCCGGGUCGAAAAUAAAGGAACCAAAUGAGAUUCAUCGGCUUGUUGAAAACUCUGGAAAGCAUGACAGCUAUAAGGGUAGCAUUCUUUUAAGAUCUGAAGAUGUCGUAGAUACCUCAGCGAACUGGAGAGAGUGUUCUGUUAAGACUCUUUUUCAAUCUUCGAGAGGGGAUGCGUCAAACAGUUACAAUCUGGUUAGCAGCUCGGACAAGAGAGAGGGAAAGAAGAAGGCAGACAUUAGUGAUGUGAGGGUGGCAAUCAAGGAGCAGGAGAGUGAGGUGGCAAGAGCUUUAUUCUUUGGUAAAUCUCAAUCCACUUUUGAUGACAAAAAUAUCAGCAGCUUAGGUUUUCCACUUGUAUAUGAUACCCGCAAGGAAGAGUUUCCUAGGCUUCCUCCUGUUAAGCUCAAGUCUGAAGACAAUCCUCUGAGUCUUCACUGUGAAGAAAAAUUUGAACGUGAUGGUUCAGGUCCAAGGCUAAUCAAUGAUGAGGACGCCCUUCUCAUAGGCUCAUACCUUGAUGUUCCCAUUGGACAAGAAAUUAGCUCAUCAGGUUAGAUUGCAUGACAAUGUAGCCGUACAACUGCAAAGUUUCCAUUGUGACUGCUGAAUGACAGUGCAUGCAUUUUUCUCAUAUCCUUCAUUCCUAUAGGAACUACUGUGGUUAUCAUAUUUCUACUCUGCGAAUCUGCUGAAGUAACAUGUUUGAAUUUUGAUGAACUCAUGAAUUAGAACAAUGCAUUGGCAAAUUACCAGCAUCAGUUCCAAAGAAAGCAAGUAAUUGUUUAGCUUUUUGCAUUUAUCUGCAAAUGUUUGCUCUCAUUGUCUUCCUUUCCCACUCUGUUUUUUUUUUUUGAUUUCUAUAAGGACCAUGUCGCUUCACUUUCUACUUUUUUUUUAGUUCAACUUGAACCUUACCAGUUUUACUUCAGGUGUGAAAGUAAGUUUUAAUCUCCUAAUUAUUUCAUAUAGGUGGGAAAAAAUCUACUGGGGGAAACUGGCUUUCAGUAAGUCAGGGAAUAGCAGAGGACGCAUCUGAUCUUGUUUCGGGUUUUGCUACUAUUGGUGAUGGUUUAAGUGAAUCUGUUGACUAUCGUAAUGAAUACUGGGACUCUGAUGAGUAUGAGGAUGAUGACGACAUUGGUUAUGUCAGACAACCUAUUGAAGAUGAACCAUGGUUUCUUGCCCAUGAAAUUGAUUAUCCAAGUGAUCAUGAGAAAGGAACGACCCGUGGAAGUCCUGAUCACCAUGAAAGAGAUGCAAACAAAGACGCAGAUGAUCAGUCUUAUGCCGAGGAGGCUUCUUAUAUAUCUGGAGAACAGUAUCUCCAAUCAAAAGAUGCUGAACCUAUUUCUUCAGAAAAUGACCGAAGACUUACAGUCUCAGAAAUUUAUCCAGCUAGCAAGAAAAAUGAUUUAUUAGCCCAAUAUGAUGGGCAUUUAAUGGAUGAGGAAUUGCUCAGUUCGAUGCGUGAUGAGCCUGUUUGGCAGGGGUUUGUAGCUCAGUCAAAUGAACUUCUCAUGUUAGGUGAUAAGAAAGGCAUAAAUGUCCAUCGAAAAUCUCAUCGUGAUGAUGUUUACGUCGAAGAUGAUCAGCAUGAUUCGGUCAGGUCAAUUGGCGUGGGUAUUAAUAGUGAUGCAGCUGAUUUUGGCAGUGAAGUACGUGACAGUUUGGCUGGAGGUAGCAGUGAGGGAGAUUUUGAGUACUCCCGUGAUCAUGAUCCUGUAGCAUCCAGGUUUAAACAACUUUACUCCGAGUCAGAUAAGAAACAUAUUGAUGCCCCAAACAAGAAUAAACAACAAGCAAGUAAAAAUGAUGGUCCAGAUUACAUUGCAGAUAAUGAUUCAAGCGGAAGUUUUCAUGUGAAGAUUCAAACUGAUGGUGGUUUUUCGUUUGGUUCGUCCCAAAAAGAUGGGCAGUCAAUGCAUGCGGAAUCUAGUAAAUCAUUAUGGUCAGGCAAUCACGAAACGGUAACCAGAGAUAGGAACACCGAACGUUUGAGUGCUUCAACAGCUAUGGAUGAUAUGGUUGCAACUUGGAGACGAAAAAGUAGUGAUUCAUCAAGUUCUCAUAGUUCUGUGAAAGAUAAUAAUGCAACGUCCAUAAAAUCUCUAAACUCAUCUCCCUCUUCUCUGUCAAAUUAUGCUUGUGAAGAAAGAAAGCAUGCUGAUAAAGAAGAUGAUAGAAAUGAUAGUAGUGAAAUAGAGGAUGACAAUGCGACAGCACUUGAUGAUGAAGAGGCAGUGGCUGUCCAAGAGCAAGUUAGACAAAUUAAGGCCCAAGAGGAGGAGUUUGAAACCUUUGACCUCAAAAUUGUGCAUCGAAAAAACAGGUAAGAUUUCUCCCCAACUUUUAUGGUUUAAACUAAAACAGAUAGAAAGUAAGUAAGAAGUUACCUUGUUUAAAAGAGCAUCUGUCUCUGAGUCUCUACUUGUUGCGCUCAGCCCAGAAACAUCAUGUUAAGUAAAACUGUAAUUAGCAUAACUAAUUGAACUAACUAUAUUGCUUCAGUUGAUUUUAACCAUUUUACUUUUGAAAAGUUAUCCCCAAGAUUGAAGUAGUCAAAAUAUUUCGACAUAGCUGAGUGCUGCUCUCUUAUUACUUGUUUGGCAUUUAUCAGGACUGGUUUCGAAGAGGAAAAGAACUUUAACGUGGUUUUAAAUUCGGUCAUUGCUGGGCGGUACCAUGUCACUGAGUACCUUGGAUCAGCAGCCUUCAGUAAAGCCAUACAAGCGCAUGACUUACAGACAGGAAUGGAUGUCUGUAUAAAGAUCAUAAAGAACAACAAAGACUUUUUUGACCAGAGUCUUGACGAGAUAAAACUUUUGAAGUAUGUCAACAAGCAUGAUCCUGCUGACAAAUACCAUCUUCUACGGUUGUAUGAUUACUUUUACUACCGCGUAAGUGAUCACAUCCCUUUUGCAAAAUUUGGUUUUGCUAUAGUAUAUCAAUAGGGGCAAAUUGUGUAACUUUAUAUAGGGAAACCACUUAAUCAGGAAAAAGUCGCUAAGAAGCUGUGUUAUGAACUUCUAAAAGUUUCACAUAUAUGCCAAUUUAUUGAAAUAUAAAGGGGUCAUAAUAAACUAAGUAGGUUUGCAUUAUUAUAUCUCUUUGUGGAUUGUUUGGUGUAACGGAUUCCCUGAAUGUUCUUUGCAGGAGCACUUGCUAAUUGUAUGUGAACUUCUUAAGGCCAAUCUAUACGAAUUCCACAAAUUUAACAGAGAAUCAGGUGGUGAAGUUUAUUUCACGAUGCCAAGAUUGCAGGUUUGUCCGCUUCAUCAUUAACAUUCUUAAUAGAUAUGUAUAAAUCCGAGUUCUAAUCUCUUUGGGAUCGUUCUGUACAGUCAAUCACUAUCCAGUGUCUCGAAUCACUUCAAUUUCUACAUGGCCUUGGACUUAUACACUGUGAUUUGAAGCCUGAGAACAUAUUGGUUAAAAGUUAUAGCAGAUGUGAAAUAAAGGUCAUUGACCUUGGAAGUAGCUGUUUCGAGACAGACCACCUAUGCUCCUAUGUCCAGUCAAGGUCAUAUCGAGCACCAGAAGUCAUUUUGGGACUUCCUUAUGAUAAAAAGAUAGAUGUGUGGUCUCUUGGGUGCAUUUUGGCUGAACUGUGUACAGGCAACGUAAGUUCUGGAAUUUCAGCUAGAUAAUAUUGUCUAGUUUGGUUGUUGAUUUUUGAGGACAAGAAGGUGAAUCCGUGUUUAAUAUCGAGUUACUUUUGCAGGUUCUCUUCCAGAAUGAUUCGCCAGCCAGUUUGCUAGCAAGGGUUAUGGGAAUCGUAGGAUCUUUCGAUAAUGAAAUGCUUACCAAGGGACGUGAUUCCCACAAAUACUUCACAAAAAACCGAAUGCUCUAUGAGCGGAACCAGGUUAGUGUUUCCAGAGACCUUAAAGGAACAUUCCCUGAACUCCAAAAACUCUGCAACUCUUAAGUUGAAUGGAAGAAACAUAUGCUAAUAAAGAACAUUCUCUCUGGAAAAAUUGUUUGUUCAGGAAAGCAACAGAUUGGAGUACCUGAUACCAAAAAGAACAUCGUUGAGACAUCGGCUGCCAAUGGGAGACCAAGGAUUCACAGACUUUGUGGCUCAUCUUCUUGAGAUAAACCCAAAGAAGC
rnacentral:lncRNA from 1 species